rfam:Picea glauca, whole genome shotgun sequence.
UGGUGCGAUCAUACCAGCAUUAAUGCACGGGUCCCAUCAAAACUCCGCAGUUAAGCACGCUUGGGCUAGAGUAGUAUUGGGAUGGUUGACCUCUCGGGAAUUCCUAGUGUUGCACCCU